rfam:Ictidomys tridecemlineatus contig008024, whole genome shotgun sequence.
UGGAUUGCAGCUGAGUGGUAGAGUGCUUGUGUAGUGUACAUGAGGCCCUGGGUUCUAUCCCCAGCAAAUCAU